CAAGAUGGCCGUUCCCAGGACACGUGGGCGAGAAGGACGGGAGAGAUGGGGAGAGAGACGUUUGCAGCAGGAACGAAACAGAGACCGCAGAGCCUUAGCUGCUGGGGAAGCAAGAACCAGAGCUCCCUCUUCUGGGCAAACGAAAUUCUGAACAGCUUGGGGCCGCUUCCGGAAAAAGGGCAGCCCCCACCAGUGAGGAGGAGUCCUGUCUUCACCUGGUGACUCAUCUCGGCUCUGGAUCGACAGAAAGGAAAGAGGAGCUUCCCUGGUGGCUGAAAUGGUAAAGAAACUGCCGGCAAUGCAGGAGAUCUGGGUUCAAUCCCUUGGUUGGGACGAUCCCCUGGAGGAAGGAAUUGCAACCCACUCCAGUAUUCUUGCCUAGAGAAGCCCAUGGACAGAGGAUCCUGCCAAAAGCCGCCUGGAGGAGCAUCUUUCCUUGUCCUGCCAGCCGGACGGCUCAAUGCUCCUGGCCCAGCGAUUGAGUGGGUGUGUGAGAUUGGGGACCCAUCUCCCCGACUCCUCAAGUGGCUAUUGAUGCCCUCUCAGCUGUGAAGACAACCCGAGGCCAGGACCAAACCAGAAUCCUACAAGUAAGAUCCUAAUAAUGAACAAGGCCAGUGGGAGAAGAGAUUUAUAAUGGUAAAAGAUUGUUCUGUGCAGAGUGUAGUGGGUGAGGGAAGAUUUCAUAGCACAAAGAAAUCACUUCUCCUUUUCAGGGAUGAAUCCGGACCCUAAGUUGAAAAUGUAGUUGAACUCGAUGACAAGGUUUUAAAACAGACCCAACUCAAACACUUCUCCAAAUAGUUCUGCUCAAUGUAAUUUUGAACAAGGUAUUUGAACGGCAUAUUAAAAAUGCUUCAGAGCUAAGGGUUUAUUUCUUUUUCCCUCUGUAAAUUA